AGAGUUUGAUUUUGGCUCAGGACGAACGCUGGCGGCGUGCCUAACACAUGCAAGUCGAACGGAGUUGAAAGGAGCUUGCUUUUUUCAACUCAGUGGCGGACGGGUGAGUAACGCGUGAGUAACCUGCCUUUCAGAGGGGGAUAACGUUCUGAAAAGAACGCUAAUACCGCAUAAGAUUGUAGUUUCGCAUGGAGCAGCAAUCAAAGGAGCAAUCCGCUGAAAGAUGGACUCGCGUCCGAUUAGAUAGUUGGCGGGGUAACGGCCCACCAAGUCGACGAUCGGUAGCCGGACUGAGAGGUUGAUCGGCCACAUUGGGACUGAGACACGGCCCAGACUCCUACGGGAGGCAGCAGUGAGGGAUAUUGGGCAAUGGGGGAAACCCUGACCCAGCAACGCCGCGUGAGGGAUGACGGUUUUCGGACUGUAAACCUCUGUCCUCUGUAAAGAUAGUGACGGUAGCAGAGGAGGAAGCUCCGGCUAACUACGUGCCAGCAGCCGCGGUAAUACGUAGGGAGCAAGCGUUGUCCGGAUUUACUGGGUGUAAAGGGUGCGUAGGCGGAUUGGCAAGUCAGAAGUGAAAUCCAUGGGCUUAACCCAUGAACUGCUUUUGAAACUGUUAGUCUUGAGUGAAGUAGAGGUAGGCGGAAUUCCCGGUGUAGCGGUGAAAUGCGUAGAGAUCGGGAGGAACACCAGUGGCGAAGGCGGCCUACUGGGCUUUAACUGACGCUGAGGCACGAAAGUGUGGGUAGCAAACAGGAUUAGAUACCCUGGUAGUCCACACUGUAAACGAUGAUUACUAGUGGUGGGGGGUCUUACCCCCUCCCGUGCGGGAGUUAACACAAUAAGUAAUCCACCUGGGGAGUACGACCGCAAGGUUGAAACUCAAAGGAAUUGACGGGGGCCCGCACAAGCAGUGGAGUAUGUGGUUUAAUUCGACGCAACGCGAA
rnacentral:rRNA from 1 species